ACAUGGCACAUGCUCCUACUCAAAAUGAAGGUCCCCUGAACAUUGCCAUAGGAGGUUGCUGUCAUGGGAAAUUAGACCUUGUUUAUGAUAAACUACUCCAAAUCCAAGAGAGAGAAGGAAUUAAAUUAGAUCUAUUCAGUACUCUUUCAAAGCCUCAGCCUGGACUCCAUUUUGUGUUCAUUUCAGUAUAAGACCCACUGCAGGCAAUUAGAGAUCAAGAUGAUCUUAACUGUAUGGCAGUCCCUGACAAGUAUAAGCAAAUUGGAUCCUUUCACAAAGAACCUCUACUCCAUCAAGUUCACUGAUAAAUUUAUGGUGAAGAUGAUGAUGAGAAGGUUAGGCCUCCUUUGACAAUACA